UUCCCUAUAGCUCAGAUGAUAGAGAAUCUGCCUGCAAUGCAGGAGGCCCAGGUUUGAUCCCUGGUCAGGAAG
rnacentral:tRNA from 1 species